UGGCUCAGACGGUAAAGCGUCUGUCUGCAAUGCAGGAGACCCGGGUUCAAUCCCUGG
rfam:TPA: Bos taurus chromosome 11, whole genome shotgun sequence.